ensembl:lncRNA
AUUAUGCAGGGCUAGCCAAAGGAGCCUAAACCAUGUAGGACAAAAUUGCAAAGAUAUAGACAUUAUUAUUUUUAACUUUUGUUUUAGUUUGUCAUCUAUAUCUGGGCUUUUUAUGCUCAGGAAAAACGUGGAACUCACUAUGAAAUGCAGAAUCUCUGCAAAUCAGUCCCGAGAGCCCCCACGAUCCUUCACUGAAGUCAAGGAAUCGAACACUCAGCUCGUAGAGCGGAUUGCUCAUUCCUCGCAGCUGAUAUCACAUGGGGGCCUACACUGGUCUGGAGUAAAGAGAAAUAAAUCGGAAACUUGCGAUAACUCUAGAACCAUGGUCCUUAAAGUACGGCUCCCCAACCAGCACCAUCAGUUUCACCUGGGAACUUGUUAGAAAUGCAGUUUCUCAGAACCCAGCCCAGACCUGCUCUGUCAGAAGCUCUAGGGGUGCCUCGUAUUCUCCAUUUAGCAAGUUCUCCAGUUGAUUCUGCUGCAGGCUGAACUUUGAGAACCACUGCUCUGGAUAAGAUUGAAGGCAAUUCCCGAAAGCUGAAGAGAGAUCACCAUAGACAUGUGGCAUCAUCUGUAUAUCCUCUAGUAGAAAGCAGGAGCCGCACUCCCCAGGUCUAGAACCGGAAGUGCGCCUCAUUAUGAAAUGAGAAAAAAAUGAACACGAUCUACAGAGUGUCUGUUAAUCUUACUUAAGGCAAGGAGGAGCCUGAAGAUGAAUGGUUCAGGAGAUGACAGAUGUCCUAAGAAGGAAAAUAGCUCCAAAACGAAACUAUUUCACCUCUUAUUUCUUAAGAGGCAGGUUGUUGACAUGUUUAGGUCACCAGCAGAAAACUAGACACUCCAUGGAAACAAUCCUGGGAAAGGAGUGAAUAGAUCUGGUUUCAGUUUCUAGAGCUGUGCACCAGCAGAAAUUGAAGAGACCGUCUGUAUGGAUGGGACAUUGUAUGGACAUCUUGGAAGGAUUAAUUGAUGGUCCAAGUUCUCUGACGUCAGCUGGUGGCUAGAGCUUGGACUAGAAGGAUGAGGGUAGGCAAUUUGCUUGUCCAGGUCUUGAUUUGCUGGCCAGGCAUGUCCAUUCUCUCAUGGUUGAUACCUGCAUCAAUAGCGCUGAGAAGCAAUUAAAAUUAAGGAUUUCUGAAGAAAACAUGUUAAAACCUAUGAUGCAUUUUACAAAUUCUUGGAUAGAUGAGGCGUGUGGUUCCACAUCGAAUGCUGUGAGCUGUUUUCCUGUUCCCUUUUUCCAUGAAGCUGCGUAAUAAACAGAACUGAGCCGCCUGGUGGCCCAUGGGGCAAUUAUGAAUAUAGCAACGCUUCUCUUUGAUUUCUCUGACAGAAAAAAAUCUCUGUGGAGAGUUGUGGCUAUUGUGCUGUAUUAAAAUUGAGUUCUUCACCAGCGGGCUGGGAGAGAAGUACCAACAUCCGCGAGCAGGUCUCUACCGGAACGGGUGAUCAUUCUUGUUAUGAAUCCACUGGAGAACCUACAUCUUUUAGACCUAAGACAAAAACUCAGAAAGCCCACAAUGGGUGGACUGCAGAAUUUGAAUCUGACUUCCUUGGCCUUCAUCUUAAAUAUAAUAUCUGGGACAGAAAAAUUAUGGGUAGUCAUGUUUACUUUACGUGGAGGCCUUGUGUUCCAGAACGACUGACGUAUUCUUUGAAAUGCAGAGCUUAUGUCAGUCGUCUAUGGUGAUUUCUUUACUGUAGGUUUCUGAGAAAAUCCAAAGUAUGAGUGAUGGCACCUCAGACCCAUCCUGUUUAGAUCCACGGGCGCAUCCUUAACCUCGCCUCUCAGCUCUGCCCCUCACACCUUCUUUUCUAGCUACAUUGAACUGCUUAGUUCACCUUGGCCACUGCAUUUUCUCAAAUCUCCUUAUAUUUGGAGUUGUUAUUCCCACAUCCCGUGAAGCCUUUUCACAUAUUAGCUUGGCUGCAUUUUCUAGAAUUCAGUUGCUCCUUCAGGGAACCUUCCACAACCUUCCACCACCACUUCAACCCAUCUGAUAUUUUUAUCCCUCCUGUAUGUCCCUUGUUCAUUUAACUGUCACCCACCACAUUGGAAGCUCCUUGUGGGUAGGAAUUGCGUCUUUUAUUUAUCAAGGUGCAAAGCUUGGCUGUGCCUGGGGCAGAGCAAGCCCAGUCUGUGUCUGUUGAGUGGAUAAAGGGAGUCUGCUGGGAGCCAAGAUGAGUGGGACCUAGGAUAGGAGCCUUUAAACUGGGCCAGCCCUUUGAAACUGGAGUGGAUCUCUCGUUGAACAAUGGAUCAUUUUGGUUUUUCUCUGUGUUUACUGCCCUUUCUCUGCCUUGGUAUGUAAUGAAGUCUCUUUUCAAGUCCUAGUCUUC